UGGAGAACGUUGCCAGGGAAAAUGCCACCCACGAACAGGUCAACAGCUUCAGGUUGUAGGCAGUGAUGCGGUAUGGUAUAGACCUGACACGUUUGAUCAACUAUUCAAAAUAUUAGCAGACAACUCUGGGAAGAAAACCAGGAUGGUGUUUGGUAACACCGGACAAGGUGUCUACUACAAAGACUUGAACCUUGCCAGUUUUGAUGUACUUAUCGAUAUAAGAGGAAUACAGGGUCUGUAUAGUGUUAAUUUUGAUCCAACAAUUGUACUUGGUGCUGGUUUAUCCAUUAACCAAUUGAUUGAUGUACUUACAAGAUCCCAACAAGAGCCAUCACUUGGUUACCUUGUACACAUACGAGACAUGCUAAAAAGAGUUGCUGGAACAUCUGUCCGAAGUAUGGCGUCCUGGGCAGGAAACUUAAUGAUGAAACACCUCCAUCCUGAAUUUCAGUCAGAUGUCUACGUUUCUUUGGAAUCAGCAAACGUUAA